UGUAGGCUCAGCAAAUAAGUUGCACUUUGCAAGAGACAGGCUGAUGGAGAGCUUCUUUUGGUCAGUUGGAAUGGUAUUUGAACCACAAUUUAGUGAAUGCCGAAAAGGUUUAACCAAAGUGGUUAAGCUAGUCACUAUUAUAGAUGAUGUUUAUGAUGUUUAUGGCUCUCUUGAAGAACUUGAACAAUUUACGGAUGCUGUUGAGAGGUUUGUACUUAUAGAAAACAAUAAAUUUAUUGCAUUUUCGUACUUCAAAACACAAAUUCAAUUAAUUAUUUUGACUUGAAUUUUGGUGCUCUUAUUGCAGAUGGGAUAUCAAUGCUUUGCAGCAUUUGCCUGGCUGCAUGAAGAUAUGUUUUUUAGCUCUUUACAACACUGUUAAUAACAUGGCAUAUGACGUUCUUAAGGAACAAGGUCAGGUCGUCCUUCCUCAGCUCACAAAAGUGGUAAGUGCAUCAAUCAAAAGUUCAUUUUAUUAUCCCUAAAUAAUCAUUUUAUAAUAGAUAGAUCACUUAAGUUAAAUACCUGAAAUCAAAUAGAUUUCCCGGAUUAGCAAAAAUCAAAUCUAUACAUCUCAAUCUAGUAAUUUUCUUUAUACUUUCUUGGGAUACUUAUUAGAUUAUAUUUAAACCCACUUGCCCUACUUCUGUAGGCCCAUCCUCUCCAUAGACUGUCUCGACUAACAUACCAUCUGCGAUUGGCCUCACCCCCUUAUCACUUAAACUAUAUUUUCCUUUAUUACCUUAUUUCUUUAAAAUUUACUUUUUCAUAAUUUUGAUUAGAUGCUAUAAAAAGUUUUUGUUAAAAGAAAUUAAUUCUAAAUAUUGCUAUAAUAUUUUAAAUAUAAUAAGAUAUGAUUUUUUUUCCUUAGGAACAUUAUAUAUUUUGCAAAUCCACCUGACAAAUAAUUAAUAGAUCAACAGAUAUGAAUAUAUUUUCAAUAUAAUUUAGUAAAAUAUGAUUUGUUUUCUUAAGAAAGUUAUAUAUUUUGCAAAUCCACCUGACAUAUAAUUAAUAAAUCAACAUAUAUAGAUACGUUUUCAAAUCAUUUAAUUAAGUUUAAUUUAGUUCAGUUUCCCUAAUUUUUUAAUUUUUUUUAUAAUCUUAACAUUUAUACUAUAUUAACUUUAAAGAUUAAAAUAAUAUUAUCAUAAUACUGAAAUCACAAUAAAUUUGACAUAAAAUGUUUAAAGCUUAGAUUUCCCUUUUUUCCCUUUAGUAUUUAAAUCAAUUUUAAUUUGUUCAUUUUUUUAAAUGAAAAUUCAAUUUUUCCAAAAUAUGAUUAAGAUAAGAUCAUUUUGUACAAGAAGAUGAUAAAAAAAAUAUAAUAAUAAAAAAAUAAAAAAAAUCCUUCUUUUAAACUAAAACAAUCUAACUGUGUCUAAAUUAAAUUAUAAAAACGCAAAGAAAAAAACAAAUAUAAUUUAAAAUUUAGCAUAAUAGAUAAGAAUAAAAUGAAAACUUUAUGCUUAUACAGGAGGAACCUGUAAAUUUUAAAAUAUGAGGGGUAUCUGUGGAUUUCUAAACCUCGUGAAAAUUUAUUCUUAUCCAAUUUUUAUUUUCUUUUGUUCUAAUAGUUGCCCAAUAUUUUACAUUAUUAUACAAGCGCCAACAAAAUUGUAUUUCCGCUCCCUCUUUUUUCUUAGAUUUUGAUAGCUGAAUUUAUCUCUGCAAAUCAUGUUUUUCAGUGGGCAGAUUUGUGCAGACUGUUCUUAAAGGAAGCGCAAUGGAGUUGCAAUAAACAUAUACCUACUUUUGAUGAGUAUCUUAGUAUGGGAUGGUUAUCAUCAUCUGGACCACUUCUACUUGUUCAUGCCUACUUUCUAAUGAAUAAAAAUAUUACAAAUGAAGAGAUAGAAUUCUUCAACGAUUACCCUGCUCUCUUACGCUACACAUCCACAAUUUUUUGCCUUUGCAAUGAUUUAAGUUCCUCAAAGGUAUGUUUCCUUUUAGAUCACUUUCUUAGGGGAUAACAGUACUUUAUCAAGAGAUUAGUGCUGAUAUAAAUUUUUUACUGUACCAGGCCGAGAUUGAGAGAGGUGAAACUGCCAAUGCAAUUUCAUGUUACAUGCAUGAAAAAAGUGUUUCUGAGGAAGUUGCCCGUGAAUACAUCAAAAGUUUGAUAGAUGAGAAUUGGAGGAUGAUAAAUAAAGAAUUGGUUUCAAGUUCCAUUUUCAGCAAGUCCUUUAUUGAAAUAGCCAUAAACCUUGCUCGAAUAGCGCAAUGUCACUACCAGUAUGGCAACGCUCACAGUGAUCCAAAUGACAUAACGAGAAACCGAGUUUUGUCAGUUAUUAUUGAGCCCAUUCAAUUGACACAGCCAUAUAGGAACUUAAAACUGUCCGUAAAUUAAGAGAAAAGAUUGUUAACUUAAAGAAGUGUAACUAGUUUAUAUAUUAUAAGGUUCAUAAGGAUGAUUAUUGAACAGAGGUGGUAGAUAAAGUGAUAAGGACGUAGCUGGUUCAACCCUCACCGAGAGGAUGCUGCUUGCUGAGUUAUACUCAAGUCGAGGGUGGGUAUUAAUCAAUUUGCUUCAAAACUACUUCAUGUUACAAAAUCUG
rnacentral:lncRNA from 1 species